rnacentral:lncRNA from 1 species
UCUCUCUCUCCCCUAUGCAGCAAUAAUGUCUGUAGCCUUUAUUUUGAACAUCUUUCUUGAAGAAACUAAAAUAGAACAAAAGAUGCUGGAAAUAGGAUCAUGAAAAAUAGGGUCACUGGUGUCAGGCCCAGGGCAUGAGAUGGAAAAGGUAAAGAUAUUCGCUAUCUGAUGCUUUUCCUUCUUUACAUUUAGAAAGUAGAAUUUAAAAUGAAAAGCAAGAUCUGGAAGGAGGCAAAGACCAGGUGGAAAAAUUCAGAAUACUAAUUGAAACUAUCAAUAUCAAGAGGUGAAAUGUACAAGCAAUGGGUCAAAUGUACUGAUUACUUUGGAUGUUUUUACCCCAAGAAAUGUGAUCAAAUGAAGUAAACACACACACACACACACACACACACACACACACACACACACACACACACAACUUAUGAGAUCAGAAUGAAGUCCAUUUGGUUUGGUCAGCUUUUGCUCACUGCUCAUCAUCUUAUCUUGACUACCUGAAAGAGCGAGUUCACCUUCAGUCUAGAUACAGGCUCUGCACCUCAUUAGCCAGGCUGAAUUUGCACUUCUGAUUAUAUACAUUUGCCCAGACAAGAACAUUUAGAUGCUCACCUACCUGCCAAGUCCUCAUUUUUUCUUCCUUAUAUCUAUCAGUUAAGGGAAAACAGUAACAGAGAACUUUUGAAGUAUACAAAGUUUUUACAGUAUCUUGUUCUUGAUUAAUAUUUAUAAUAAUAUAUAGAAGUAGAAAAUAUUAUGUUAUACUGCAAUUCUCACUCCCAGAAUGUUGUUCAUCAACGAUGUCUAUCGAUUUCACAGUGUGAUCCUUGGUCAGCAACCAACUGAGAACACUAACAAGCAUAUAUAAUUCUAUGUGUGGUUCUUCUCAAAGAGGCAGGUCAUCUGUCCUUGCUAAUAAUAACCACCUUUCAAAGACGAGUUCUGGCGUGUGACAGUGCCACAGUAAAGCUUCUUAGAAUACAUCUUUAUUAAAUAAAAGCUGUGUGCCUUUAGGGAAAGGGUAGAACACAUUGUGUAAUUCGCUGCUUUGCAUAUUGAAAUUCAGCAGGUAGAUCUUGUUAAAGACAUUCAGGAAGCAUCUCAAAGAGAAUGACCUUCACAUUUUCAUAAAAUAAAUGAUUAAUGUGGGGGCCAUUAAUUCUACCCAUACUCUGUUCCCCAAAGAGCUUUAUCCAUUCUGAAGAAGUGUUUCACUUUCAAGGAUAAAUGACACAUAUUUUUAAAAUAAUUGUGAACCAUCAGGUAUGUAAUUUAUAUCUGUUGUGCAUAAUAAAAUACAUAAUUAAACAUCACUCUACAAUUAAUCAAGGCAUUAAAACCUGGAAGUGGCAAGAAGCUACUGUGUAGCAGCAUUCCAAUUUGGGAAGACUGUUUAUAAAUAGGUUUAUAUUAAUGAGACUGUUUUUAUUCCUAUCUAAUUUUCUUAGGUCAGUCUUCAUUAUAUUUUACAUUUGUAUAUGUGCUCUAGGCAAAAUAGUGAAAGGGCACCAUUUGAACUCUUCUGAUAAAAAUCUAAGGAGACAAAUAUUUAGCUGAAAUUUAAUGCUGGUCCGUUUAAACAAUCAGCAGGAAAAGAUUUUAUUAUAUAUCAAUAAAUUAAUUCAGUUUAUCUCUCAGAAAAGGCAUAUACUGAUGUCAUAGCAUAGAUAACACAAGGGAAAUGUUUCUUUCAUGGUUAUAGAGCACUGAAAAAGUUUGAAACUAGAUUCCUGAGAUUCUAGAACUCAGGUCACAUGCAAUAAGCAAAUGGUUCAACAUGGUUCAUGCAUCCAGGGUGUUCUGAAUACAUUAUUAAUCUGUAGGCAACAAUAAAAUAGUAACUUCCACAUUAGUCUGUAAAUUAAAUGUUUGUUCUUGAACUUCUGGUGAGGAGCAUGAAGCACAGAAUCUUAUAUGACCUGACACGAACAUUCUUUAUUUUCAAAGAGUGCCCCAAUGCAUGGCUGGUAUCAGCAGGUAUUGAUUGCGUGUGGCGAGAACACACUCUUGAACCAAAUUUACUAACAGAGGCUCAUAAAACACACAGGUAAUCUGGGAACAAUUCAGUCGUUGCAGUUUGACACUUUACAUGUACGGAUUCUCCUGUGAAUGCUUUUUGUAUCUUGAGGUGAGUAUAGAGUGCUAGACAACUAUUGCCGGGACUUCAGAGUCCCACUUAUAGUUUAAUAAUAAAGACAUAGAGACAUCUAUAUAAUUUAAAGCUGUUGGGCUUUGGCUGGGCUAGCCUCUAACUUAACACAGCUUCUCUGCCAUUGAGUCUCUUCCUGCCCCAGCCCUGGCUGCAAGCUCUUUAUUAUGCCAAAAGUCACAUUCCUCACUGAACCAGUUGGCUUUAGGGACUACAUGAGCUUCCCCAUAUCAGCUUCUAAAGGCAGGUGAGGAAGUGACAUUUAAUAUCCUGCUAACCUAGUAUGAGGACAAUUAAUAAUGGAGAACAUGGGGACACACUUUUUCAUGGCCAGAAAAUACCAUAUUUGCGGGGCACCCCACAGGCAACAUAUUUAUGGAAACUAUGGUGUCCAUCUCUCUGUGGUCUCCCAGUAGUCCUGUAAUGCAUAAUCGUGCUUAAAACACUUUUGCAGCUGGGCAUGGUGGCACAUACCUUUAAUCCCGGCACUAGGGGCUUCAGAGACAGGUGGAUCUCUGUGAGUUUAAGGCUGGCCUGAUCUACAUAGCAAGUUUGAAGGCAACAAGGACUGUAUAGACCUUGUUUCUACAUAAGCAAAAGAAAAACCUCCUUUGCCUGUGCCCUCCUUUGCCUGCAGAAUGCUUAAUUAUUGUGUAGGUUAAACUGGUAAGUUUCACUUACUCUGAGCUCUCAGAUUCUCUGUGCUCUCGGGUCUUCCUUUCACAUCUACAAACUUCACCAGGAUCAGAAGCUUCUCAAGUUAAAAUGUCUACUGUGAUUCAUG